GACGAACGCUGGCGGCGUGCUUAACACAUGCAAGUCGAACGGAAAGGCCCUGCUUUUGUGGGGUGCUCGAGUGGCGAACGGGUGAGUAACACGUGAGUAACCUGCCCUUGACUUUGGGAUAACUUCAGGAAACUGGGGCUAAUACCGGAGAGGAGCUCCUGCUGCAUGGGGGGGGUUGGAAAGUGUCGGCGGUUGGGGAUGGACUCGCGGCUUAUCAGCUUGUUGGUGGGGUAGUGGCUUACCAAGGCUUUGACGGGUAGCCGGCCUGAGAGGGUGACCGGCCACAUUGGGCCUGAGAUACGGCCCAGACUCCUACGGGAGGCAGCAGUGGGGAAUAUUGCACAAUGGGCGGAAGCCUGAUGCAGCAACGCCGCGUGCGGGAUGACGGCCUUCGGGUUGUAAACCGCUUUCGCCUGUGACGAAGCGUGAGUGACGGUAAUGGGUCAAGAAGCCCCGGCUAACUACGUG
rnacentral:rRNA from 1 species